GUCCACGCCGUAAACGAUGGAUACUAGCUGUUGGGAGCAAUCUCAGUGGCUAAGCGAAAGUGAUAAGUAUCCCACCUGGGGAGUACGGGCGCAAGCCUGAAACUCAAAGGAAUUGACGGGGGCCCGCACAAGCGGUGGAGCAUGUGGUUUAAUUCGAUGAUACGCGAGGAACCUUACCAAGGCUUAAAUGUAGAUUGACAGGUUUGGAAACAGACUUUUCUUCGGACAAUUUACAAGGUGCUGCAUGGUUGUCGU
rnacentral:rRNA from 1 species